rnacentral:rRNA from 1 species
AACGAACGCUGGCGGCAGGCCUAACACAUGCAAGUCGAACGCACCGCAAGGUGAGUGGCGCACGGGUGAGUAACACGUGGGAAUGUACCCUUUGGUUCGGAAUAACGUUUGGAAACGAACGCUAAUACCGGAUGAGCCCUGCGGGGGAAAGAUUUAUCGCCAAAGGAGCAGCCCGCGUCUGAUUAGCUAGUUGGUGGGGUAAAGGCCUACCAAGGCGACGAUCAGUAGCUGGUCUGAGAGGAUGAUCAGCCACACUGGGACUGAGACACGGCCCAGACUCCUACGGGAGGCAGCAGUGGGGAAUAUUGGACAAUGGGCGCAAGCCUGAUCCAGCCAUGCCGCGUGAGUGAUGAAGGCCUUCGGUUGUAAGGCUCUUUCGUCACGCGACGAUGAUGACGGUAGCGUGAGAAGAAGACCCGGCGUAACUUCGUGCCAGCAGCCGC